GUACGGGAGGCAGCAGUAAGGGAUAUUGGGCAAUGGGCGAAAGCCUGACCCAGCAACGCCGCGUGGAGGAUGACGGUCUUCGGAUUGUAAACUCCUUUUGUCGGGGACGAGGAAGGACGGUACCCGGCGAAUCAGUCUCGGCUAACUACGUGCCAGCAGCCGCGGUAAAACGUAGGAGGCGAGCGUUAUCCGGAUUUACUGGGCGUAAAGGGUGUGCAGGCGGGCCGUUAAGUGGUGCAUGAAAGCGAAGGGCUCAACCCUUCGAGGCUGUGCCAGACUGGCGGUCUGGAGUGCGGGAGAGGGCUGUGGAAUUCCGGGUGUAGUGGUGAAAUGCGUAGAGAUCCGGAGGAACACCAGAGGCGAAGGCGGCAGCCUGGCCCGCAACUGACGCUGAGACACGACAGCAUGGGGAGCGAACGGGAUUAGAUACCCCGGUAGC
rnacentral:rRNA from 1 species